CCUACGGGGUGCAGCAGUGAGGAAUAUUGGUCAAUGGACGCAAGUCUGAACCAGCCAUGCCGCGUGCAGGAAGGCGGCUCUAUGAGUUGUAAACUGCUUUUGUACGAGGGUAAAUCCCGAUACGUGUAUCGGGUUGAAAGUAUCGUAAGAAUAAGGAUCGGCUAACUCAGUGCCAGCAGCCGCGGUAAUACGGAGGAUUCAAGCGUUAUCCGGAUUUAUUUGGUUUAAAGGGUGCGUAGGCGGUUCGAUAAGUUAGAGGUGAAAUCCCGGGGCUCAACUCCGGCACUGCCUCUGAUACUGUCGGUCUAGAGUUUAGUUGCGGUAUGCGGAAUGCGUGGUGUAGCGGGGAAAUGCAUAGAUAUCACGCAGAACCCCGAUUGCGAAGGCAGCAUACCGGCGCUCAACUGACGCUGAGGCACGAAAGUGCGGGUAUCGAACAGGAUUAGAUACCACUGUAGUC
rnacentral:rRNA from 1 species